ACACACGUAAGGAUUGUGGCACCAAAGGAGGAGGAAGACGUGUUUGUCAACCGCAAGGGAUAUCACAGUAUUAAUGUGCAGGUCAUAUUCGAUGCCAACUAUCGAAUACUGGAUAUCCUAGCGAAGUGGCCUGGCUCAGUGCAUGAUGCACGUAUUUUGAAUGGCUGUGGAGUGGCAGAAUUGUUCCAGAGAGGGCAUGUGCCACCAGGUAGUCACUUGUUGGGAGACAGUGGCUAUCCCAGCAAGCCAUGGCUCCUGACACCUUACCUGCGACCUCUGCCUGGACCUCAGUCACGCUAUAAUAGGGCCCACAAACGGACACGGAGUGUUGUGGAACGGGGAAUAGGACAGCUCAAGCGCCGCUUUCAUGUCCUACACAGCGAGGUCCGAGUAACUCCCCCGGUGAAGGUGUGCAAGCUGAUACAUGUAUGCGGCAUGCUCCACAACAUCUGCAAGGACAGGAAUAUUCCCAUUCCUCUCGAUGCGGCUCAACCUAAUGCUGAAGAAGUGGAUCUUGCCAUGGCACAACCUGAAGGUGUGCAAGUUGUGCCGCCACUUCCAGCUGGUCAGCGGAAUGAAGGUCGCCUGUAUCGAGAUGAAUUCUGCAACUUGCAUUUCCACAAUGAAGACUGAAACCCGUUCCUCAGCACGACUGGACAAGUACAUGCCAAGCUGCCUCCCGUGCCCUUUCAGCUGCCUCCUGCGCCCUUGCAACUGCCUCCUGCGCCCUUGCAGCUCCUGUGAAGGCCCGAGCACAAGCCGCCACCUCCUCUGCGGCUGCCUUCAUGGCCCGUGCAGCCUCCUCCCCAGCCUGUGCAGCUGCUGCUGUAGCUCUUGAAGCUACAGCCUCCUCCUCAGCAGCUGCCACCUUUGCUUGAGCAGCUGCUGCAUCAUCCUCAGCUGGCACCUUCCCCCAGGCACCCCCCUCAGUUUGUGGC